UACGUAGGGUGCAAGCGUUGUCCGGAAUUAUUGGGCGUAAAGAGCUCGUAGGCGGUCUGUCGCGUCGGCUGUGAAAUCCCGGAGCUCAACUCCGGGUCUGCAGUCGAUACGGGCAACGUGGAGUACUGCGAGGGGAGACUUGGAAAUCCUGGUGUGCGGUGAAAUGCGCAGAUAUCGGGAGGAACACCGGUGGCGAAGGCGGUUCUCUGGGCCUG
rnacentral:rRNA from 1 species